rnacentral:rRNA from 1 species
AACGUAGGACACAAGCGUUAUCCGGAGUUACUGGGCGUAAAGGGUGCGUAGGCGGGUAGGUAAGUCAGUGGUGAAAUCUUCGAGCUUAACUCGGAAACUGCCUUUGAUACUAUCUAUCUUGAAUAUUGUGGAGGUAAGCGGAAUAUGUCAUGUAGCGGUGAAAUGCUUAGAUAUGACAUAGAACACCUAUUGCGAAGGCAGCUUACUACGCAUAUAUUGACGCUGAGGCACGAAAGCGUGGGGAUCAAACAGG